AAUAAUGAUUGAGUAAUCCAUUUUGAGUAGUCGACGUUCGGAAGACCGUUCUUACUUAACCACCUCAGAUGACGUGAAUCAAAUGACGUGUCAAUAACCUACCGGCCGGGCGCCGUUAAUAAAUAUUAUAAAUAAAUAUAUAAACGUCACAUUUAACGUCACAGUACAUCUUCAACCUAAGGAUUUGCGGUGAUAUGUUAAAAACAAUUAUUAAACAAUUAUUAAAAGCACUGCUGCUGCGGCUCCCCGUUUAGCGCCAUUGCUUCCACUGUUCUUUUGAAUAGACGCAGUGCAUUCUGGGGCAACAUUCGGAUACUACUCGCUUACCUAAAACUCGCUUACUACGU